UACGGAAGGCAGCAGUGGGGAAUAUUGCACAAUGGGCGCAAGCCUGAUGCAGCCAUGCCGCGUGUAUGAAAAAGGCCUUCGGGUUGUAAAGUACUUUCAGUCGUGAGGAAGGUGUUAAGGUUAAUAACCUUAGCAAUUGACGUUAGCGGCAGAAGAAGCACCGGCUAACUCCGUGCCAGCAGCCGCGGUAAUACGGAGGGUGCGAGCGUUAAUCGGAAUUACUGGGCGUAAAGGGCACGCAGGCGGUUAAUUAAGUUGGAUGUGAAAUCCCCGGGCUUAACCUGGGAAUGGCAUUCAAGACUGGUUAGCUAGAGUCUUGUAGAGGGGGUAGAAUUCCAUGUGUAGCGGUGAAAUGCGUAGAGAUGUGGAGGAAUACCGGUGGCGAAGGCGGCCCCCUGGGACAAAGACUGACGCUCAUGUGCGAAAGCGUGGGGAGCAAACAGGGAUUAGAUACC
rnacentral:rRNA from 1 species